rnacentral:rRNA from 1 species
CGGGGCCGCCGUCUACCGUGCGAGUCGAACGGUAACAUUUACGUGCUUGCACUUCGAUGACGAGUGGCGGACGGGUGAGUAAUGCUUGGGAACUUGCCUUUGCGAGGGGGAUAACAGUUGGAAACGACUGCUAAUACCGCAUAAUGUCUUCGGACCAAACGGGGCUUAGGCUCCGGCGCAAAGAGAGGCCCAAGUGAGAUUAGCUAGUUGGUAAGGUAAAGGCUUACCAAGGCAACGAUCUCUAGCUGUUCUGAGAGGAAGAUCAGCCACACUGGGACUGAGACACGGCCCAGACUCCUACGGGAGGCAGCAGUGGGGAAUAUUGCACAAUGGGCGAAAGCCUGAUGCAGCCAUGCCGCGUGUGUGAAGAAGGCCUUCGGGUUGUAAAGCACUUUCAGUUGUGAGGAAAAGUUAGUAGUUAAUACCUGCUAGCCGUGACGUUAACAACAGAAGAAGCACCGGCUAACUCCGUGCCAGCAGCCGCGGUAAUACGGAGGGUGCGAGCGUUAAUCGGAAUUACUGGGCGUAAAGCGCACGCAGGCGGUUUGUUAAGCUAGAUGUGAAAGCCCCGAGCUCAACUUGGGAUGGUCAUUUAGAACUGGCAGACUAGAGUCUUGGAGAGGGGAGUGGAAUUCCAGGUGUAGCGGUGAAAUGCGUAGAUAUCUGGAGGAACAUCAGUGGCGAAGGCGACUCCCUGGCCAAAGACUGACGCUCAUGUGCGAAAGUGUGGGUAGCGAACAGGAUUAGAUACCCUGGUAGUCCACACCGUAAACGCUGUCUACUAGCUGUUUGUGGCUUUAAGCCGUGAGUAGCGAAGCUAACGCGAUAAGUAGACCGCCUGGGGAGUACGGCCGCAAGGUUAAAACUCAAAUGAAUUGACGGGGGCCCGCACAAGCGGUGGAGCAUGUGGUUUAAUUCGAUGCAACGCGAAGAACCUUACCUACACUUGACAUGCAGAGAAGUUACUAGAGAUAGUUUCGUGCCUUCGGGAACUCUGACACAGUGCUGCAUGGCUGUCGUCAGCUCGUGUCGUGAAGAUUGUUGGGUUAAGUCCCGCAACGAGCGCACUCUUGUCCUUAGUUGCCAGCAUUAAGUGGCACUUCUAAGGAGACUGCCGGUGAC